rnacentral:rRNA from 1 species
AGUGAACGCUGGCGGUAGGCCUAACACAUGCAAGUCGAACGGCAGCACAGUAAGAGCUUGCUCUUACGGGUGGCGAGUGGCGGACGGGUGAGGAAUACAUCGGAAUCUACUUUUUCGUGGGGGAUAACGUAGGGAAACUUACGCUAAUACCGCAUACGACCUACGGGUGAAAGCAGGGGAUCUUCGGACCUUGCGCGAUUGAAUGAGCCGAUGUCGGAUUAGCUAGUUGGCGGGGUAAAGGCCCACCAAGGCGACGAUCCGUAGCUGGUCUGAGAGGAUGAUCAGCCACACUGGAACUGAGACACGGUCCAGACUCCUACGGGAGGCCGCAGUGGGGAAUAUUGGACAAUGGGCGCAAGCCUGAUCCAGCCAUACCGCGUGGGUGAAGAGGGCCUUCGGGUUGUAAAGCCCUUUUGUUGGGAAAGAAAAGCAGCAGGUUAAUACCCCGCUGUUCUGACGGUACCCAAAGAAUAAGCACCGGCUAACUUCGUG